rnacentral:rRNA from 1 species
UACGGGGGGAGCAAGCGUUGUUCGGAUUUACUGGGCGUAAAGGGCGCGUAGGCGGCCACCGCAAGUCGAUUGUGAAAUCUCCGGGCUUAACCCGGAAAGGUCAACCGAUACUGCGGGGCUAGAGUGCAGAAGGGGCAACUGGAAUUCUCGGUGUAGCGGUGAAAUGCGUAGAUAUCGAGAGGAACACCUGCGGCGAAGGCGGUUCUCUGGGCAUGUCCUGACGCUGAGGAGCGAAAGUGUGGGGAGCGAACAGG